ACUGUUGAUGAUGAGGACCUGAUAUCUUAUGUUGUUGGUGGUCUUAAUCCUGCUUAUCACCCAUUCAUUACCUCCCUUAAUUUUGCAACUUGAGACUCAUCAAUCACCUUUGAUGAUUUUCAAACUGAGUUGCUGAAUUAUGAAC